rnacentral:siRNA from 1 species
UACAUUAGCAUGGGAUAACAUC